rnacentral:lncRNA from 1 species
UUCUCCCGAACAUUCCCCUAGGUGAUAUAGUCCUUGAGAUAUUCUGGAGUUUUGCGAACACGAGCUGGCCGUUGCAAUGUUUGCUCUACUUCCUGCAUUUCAACUACAGGGCCAUCUUCCAGCUCCCUUACUUUAAUGGGCGAGGAUGUAUCACUCCCCUCCCCUUGAGAAUGAACCUUGUCCUCAAGGUUAAACUCUGGGUACAGUCUGCAGAACUCAGCAAAGUCUUCCCAAGUUGAAUUCUCAGGAGCACAGCCAGACCACUGAACCAAAAUUUGAUA